UCGAAGCGUGGGUGAGUGUAGCUCGACCAAAUGCGCAGUACACAGUUACAUCACCGUCACUAAACGCAAAUGAAAAGAAUAAAACAGGUGAGUCACACGCAACCAGUACAAUGCGAGUUGAAACACAACACGUUGCAAAUAAGCGCAGUAACACGCAACAGCAAGCGCGCGAUUUUACGCGAGAACAAUGGGGAUCAAGAUUCGAGGCAAAAUAUUUUUGAACGACGCUACCGCGUCAACCAGGAAUUGAAUAACAAUAAACAUGCCAAACAAAUCAUGUCGGCUACGCAAGUUUUCCUGAUCGCGUUCGUGAUCGCCAACAAUAUUAAUGCGGGAAUGGUGGGCCACUGGAAGAGCAAGCAGCGUAGUUCUGUAUCGCCAAACGAGCGACACUAGUUGAAGCCCUAAAGUUUCGGCAUGCGUACAGCAGCAGCUGUG